CACCCCUGCAGGUCAUGUUGAUAUGCAACAUGUAAGGGAAGCUCACAAAAUAGACUCCUCCAACGUGACCCUUAAAGUGAUGCCGGGCAUAACACGGUGUCACCUGGAUCCUAAUGGAUUUGAGAAGAUGAGGGUCAGCUAUGCCUUCCAGCUUUUUGGGACAAAAGUCCUCCAAGCUUUCCACCUAUACAAAGACAAGUUGGAAGCAACACUUGGAAGGAUGGAUGUAACACAAGAGUUCUUCAGCAAAAUCCACCAGCUCAUAAGAGUGAUGACAUCGCGGUUCCCUGCUGAAGCCCUCAGACCGUGUUCAU